rnacentral:rRNA from 1 species
CCUACGGGUGGCAGCAGUGAGGAAUAUUGGUCAAUGGACGCGAGUCUGAACCAGCCAAGUAGCGUGAAGGAUGACUGCCCUAUGGGUUGUAAACUUCUUUUAUAUAGGAAUAAACUGUUCCACGUGUGGCUUUUUGUAUGUACCUUAUGAAUAAGGAUCGGCUAACUCCGUGCCAGCAGCCGCGGUAAUACGGAGGAUCCGAGUGUUAUCCGGAUUUAUUGGGUUUAAAGGGAGCGUAGAUGGAUUGUUAAGUCAGUUGUGAAAGUUUGCGGCUCAACCGUAAAAUUGCAGUUGAUACUGGCAGUCUUGAGUACAGUAGAGGUAGGCGGAAUUCGUGGUGUAGCGGUGAAAUGCUUAGAUAUCACGAAGAACUCCGAUUGCGAAGGCAGCUCACUAAACUGCAACUGACAUUGAUGCUCGAAAGUGUGGGUAUCAAACAGGAUUAGAGACCCUAGUAGUC